AUACGGAGGGUCCGAGCGUUAUCCGGAAUCAUUGGGUUUAAAGGGUCCGUAGGCGGGAAUCUAAGUCAGUGGUGAAAUCUUGCAGCUCAACUGUAAAAUUGCCAUUGAUACUGGAUUUCUUGAAUUAGUGUGAAGUGGUUAGAAUGUGUAGUGUAGCGGUGAAAUGCAUAGAUAUUACACAGAAUACCAAUUGCGAAGGCAGAUCACUAACACUAUAUUGACGCUGAGGGACGAAAGCGUGGGGAGCGAACAGGAUUAGAAACCCCAGUAGUCC
rnacentral:rRNA from 1 species